rnacentral:rRNA from 1 species
UACGUAGGGGGCAAGCGUUAUCCGGAUUUACUGGGUGUAAAGGGGGCGCAGACGGCCAUGGCAAGCCCAGUGUGAAAGGCAGGGGCAUAACCCCUGGACUGCACUGGGAACUGUCAGGCUGGAGUGCCGGAGGGGUAAGCGGAAUUCCUGGUGUAGCGGUGAAAUGCGUAGAUAUCAGGAGGAACACCGGCGGCGAAGGCGGCUUACUGGACGGCAACUGACGUUGAGGCCCGAAAGCGUGGGGAGCGAACAGG